CACUUCUCUUAGGCAGUCUGAGUAAUUUGGAGGAUGGUGACUGACUUGUGAGCUUGCUAUAUUCCGAGCGCAGGGUUGAUGCGCCUUGGUCACAGCUGUGCCAUCUGCUUCACAGUCUCAGGAAUCCUCCUGCUGGGACUUCAUUGAAGCCAGAAACUGGAUGGGGGAAUCACGUAGGUCACCGAGUGAAUGAGGGAAGCUCAUUAAGAACACUGGCUGCUCUUCCAGAGGACCCAGGUUUGAUUCUCAGCACUCACAUGGCCAUUCCAGAGGAUCUGAUGCCUUCCUCUGGCUUCCUCAGGCACAAAUGUGGUGCAGAGAGACGUGCAGCUGGAACACUUGAAAAUAAAUAACUCUUAAAAAAUUGUGAAA